CAGAAUCCUUCCAUGUCAGGCAGCUAAGGGGUCUCCAGCAGAAGAAAAGAACUGUUCCACAGUUCUGUCUCUAUGCUAUAUACCAAUCCCUCCUGUUGUGGUGCUGCCGUCUCGGGUAUUUAAUUAACAAGGAGCAUCUGUGGAAAGGAGUUCGUCUAUAAUUUUGGACUAUAGAGAAACAAAAAAUACACUAGAAGGCAUAAAGAAAAAAGGAAGAAACAUUGAAAGUGCUCAAAGUGGAUUCAUUUUAAGCCCAAGUUCUCUGGCAUCCUCCGUUGUUGAAGUACAAUAAACCAAGUGACAGACAACAGACCUGACUUUUUGGAAAGAAUGGAAGCAAGAAGGAUCUGCUGAAUCAGAUCGUGUUUGACUGAGGACUGAGAAAACAGUUUUCUUCAAUUAAUAGCCAGCUGCAAAAUUUGGGUUCGUGCCAGCCGGGUAUUUCGUCACUAACAGAGAUAUAAAUCCCGGUGCUCCCAGGUGUUGGCAUGGUAACAAGAAUCAAUGUGCCCAAAAGCAGAGGAAGGCGAGUGUCUCAGCGUUCAGACUCAUUUCUGCCACAGUGCCUUCAGCUGUUAAGACAGUGCUCUUGAACCCACCCCACGCUGCAGCUUAAUGCAGGAAGAACACAUUCAAACCAGAAGGAUGAACAGCAGACAGAGAGCAGAGGAUUGAACCAUGUACCAAAUACCCACUCAGAGUGACCAGAUUUUAAUCAAGUUCGUCUGAAAAAACAAACCGGCACACUCACCACGAGGGAGAUGAUCUCCAGGCCCCAGAAUAGAGACUGGGAGAGAGAAUCAGCUUUACGGAAGAUGUAGCCACUGAAAGCGGGAAAUGUAAGAGGUUGGAAACGGAAGAGAUUGGAGACCAUGCACCUUCUAUCAAGUAGUCUCCAUCUCCCAGAAGACACACCGGGGAUCUCUCUGCCCAUGCUGCACUCCUACUGACUGCUUCCUAAUAACAAGGAGCAACUUUGAUUUCUAGCUGUGAGAGAGCAAGCAGGCUCCAUCUUUUUCCAGCCCAUAAGUGACUCAGAAGGCAAUCCCUGAAAUUCAAGAAUAGUUGUAAGGUAGACAGCAGAAACCUUUCUCGUUGGCUCGCCUCCACCCUCACAGCCCGCCUCUUGAUACAGGGGAGCUGUUUGGGCCUUACUUCUAAAGAAUAUGUGCUUUGAAGUAUUAUGCAGCGUUUUGAGCAACAUCUCAAUGAAAGAUGGUCCUCUCUUGUGUCAAGUGGACAAAACCUAACCGGCAACACUAUGUAACAACCAAGUCAUCUAAGCCAGAGGCAAAUCUCACUUUACCAAGAAAGGUCAGCUAUGUGUGGUUACAUGCAUGCGUGGAUCUUCUUCCAAUGUCCAACAUGUUAUUGCAUGGAGGUGACAACAAACUUCAGGGAGCUAAAAGCCAUGACUCUUUACAGCAUGCAAUGUGAGAAGAAUCAAUGACCCAUGUGGGUCAGGUCAGUCAGUUGUGUACCUACUCUGGAAGAGCAGUAGGAAAAGCAUACUUCACUGAAGAAUGUGAACAACCAGGUGGAUAAGACAUGGCCAACUCAUUCACUAAUUCGACAGGAUCACAUCGAGCCCUUCUUCUGGGGCUGCUGACCUGCUCCAAGUAUGAAAGCACGUAAUGUUGGGAACCAACAUUAAUACAGCUUUGGUUUAUGUAUUUCUUUGGUUUUUAGAACCAAAGCAUUUAUCCACAACAUGGAUCAAUAUCACAACAUCUUGAAAUAAUAAACAUGUUAAGUCAAGAGCAAACACUUGUGCAUGCUUGUCCGUCUAUUCUCUGUGAGCCCUGGCUGUUGGCUUGCU